CAGGAUAGCGGCGGGCUACCAUGCAGUCGAGCGGUAGCACAGAGAGCUUGCUCUCGGGUGACGAGCGGCGGACGGGUGAGUAAUGUCUGGGAAACUGCCUGAUGGAGGGGGAUAACUACUGGAAACGGUAGCUAAUACCGCAUAACGUCGCAAGACCAAAGAGGGGGACCUUCGGGCCUCUUGCCAUCAGAUGUGCCCAGAUGGGAUUAGCUAGUAGGUGGGGUAACGGCUCACCUAGGCGACGAUCCCUAGCUGGUCUGAGAGGAUGACCAGCCACACUGGAACUGAGACACGGUCCAGACUCCUACGGGAGGCAGCAGUGGGGAAUAUUGCACAAUGGGCGCAAGCCUGAUGCAGCCAUGCCGCGUGUAUGAAGAAGGCCUUCGGGUUGUAAAGUACUUUCAGCGGGGAGGAAGGUGCUGAGGUUAAUAACCUCAGCAAUUGACGUUACCCGCAGAAGAAGCACCGGCUAACUCCGUGCCAGCAGCCGCGGUAAUACGGAGGGUGCAAGCGUUAAUCGGAAUUACUGGGCGUAAAGCGCACGCAGGCGGUCUGUCAAGUCGGAUGUGAAAUCCCCGGGCUCAACCUGGGAACUGCAUUCGAAACUGGCAGGCUAGAGUCUUGUAGAGGGGGGUAGAAUUCCAGGUGUAGCGGUGAAAUGCGUAGAGAUCUGGAGGAAUACCGGUGGCGAAGGCGGCCCCCUGGACAAAGACUGACGCUCAGGUGCGAAAGCGUGGGGAGCAAACAGGAUUAGAUACCCUGGUAGUCCACGCCGUAACGAUGUCGACUUGGAGGUUGUGCCCUUGAGGCGUGGCUUCCGGAGCUAACGCGUUAAGUCGACCGCCUGGGGAGUACGGCCGCAAGGUUAAAACUCAAAUGAAUUGACGGGGGCCCGCACAAGCGGUGGAGCAUGUGGUUUAAUUCGAUGCAACGCGGAGAACCUUACCUACUCUUGACAUCCAGAGAACUUUCCAGAGAUGCUUUGGUGCCUUCGGGAAACUCUGAGACAGGUGCUGCAUGGCUGUCGUCAGCUCGUGUUGUGAAAUGUUGGGUUAAGUCCCGCAACGAGCGCAACCCUUAUCCCUUUGUUGCCAGCGGUUCCGGCCGGGAACCUCAAAAG
rnacentral:rRNA from 1 species